AUCAACUCAGGAAAGUAUUGCUGAAGUAAUGUUAUUCACUCACGGCACGGGCAGUGCUCCAUCGCGUGCGGUUUUGUCGCAUAUGGCGUGAAAUUAUUUCUAGCACUGUGAAUUUAGUGAUAAAAUUCGAUAAAAUUGUAAACGAACCCCCAGUUGUGGAAUGCCAUAGAUGUAAACAAACAAAGGCCACAAGAUCAUUCGUUCAGGUCGAACCGGAUACACUUUAUAUACAUUAUAGCGUUUUUCUGUUUAUGUGUGUGUGUUGUUCUUUUGUGUGAAACAUUCUUGGUAAUCGGAGUCUUUGAAAUCGUUCUGGAAAUCACUUCGGUAGAGGGUUAAACCUUGAUCUGCGUGAGAGGGCUGUGUGGUGUAAGCGAACGUGUGCUCGUUGAAGAAUACCAGUAACAGUAAGCAAAUCCAAGCUAGCUAUGAAAACUUAGCUGCCCGUAAUCAACGCCCCAAACCGGACGACAAACAUCCUGCUCUUCGCGAGAGUGGGUUGAAUUUUGGCUUCACCCUCGUACGCUUGCCUUGAGCACGUAGGAAUUAAACAAGAAAAAGAUUCUUCGCGUUCGCCUUGGACCCCAUUGUCGCUGCUGGACAAAGAACGUGGGGAUGGAGGUUUUUUUCUCCGUGUGGUGAUGGUGCACGAAAGGGCGCAGAAAUAGGCGCUACAUAAAAGUGGUGCGUGUUUUUCCCCCGCGUGUUCAAGCAGAUCUUCUCGUAGAGGAAAUUGCUAUUUGACCCGUUUGCUAGAGCAGUGGGCGAGUUGGAAAGUUAUGUGAGAGGAUGAAAAACAUCGGGGGAAACAGCGAGAUCGAGAGGAUCUUCGCGUCGCGAGUGCUGGAAAUAAAAUACUUAACAACAUAUUUGAUCCGCUGGUGGGUCACGUUUCAGGUUGAAAGGGUAAGUAACGGUAACCUUUUUCUUGCGUUGGUUUGGAAUUUCGGUGGUCCUGGUUAAGAGUAAGGAUUAUGUUCGGGAGUUUCUUGCCCUAGAUGUGUAGGUGUUGCAGUGCCAUAUGGGCUGGUGCUGGUGUUUAUGUUAUUAGACUGUAAAAACAUGCCACGUCGAAAAAAUGGAGUUUAUGUUGGCAAAGUUCACGUUGUGUAUUCUAUAGAAAGAAUAUGUACCAAAGAACGUAGUUUCGUUGCAAUUACUGCUUUUUAUAUUUUUUUAUCGUUUAAUGGAGCUACUUUAUGCUCUAUAGAAAUAAAAUUUAAUUUAAUAAUAGUAAAUCACCGAAUGUAAUGUAUAUUCUUAGCAUAUAUUGGACCAUAUUUGAAGUAUUCUUCAAAAACCAUUCAUGAUCUCCCUACA